AAAGGCUGCGGUAUUUUGACCGUACAAAGGUAGCAUAAUCAUUAGUUUUUUAAUUGAAAACUCGUAUGAAUGGUUUAACGAAAUAUUGACUGUUUCAUAAAAAUUUAUGUAGAAAUUAAUUUUUUAGUCAAAAAGCUAAAAUAUUUUUAAAAGACGAGAAGACCCUAUAGAGUUUUAUACUAAAAAUUUUAUAGUUUAUUUAUAAUAGUUAAAAUUUUAUUGUUUUUUGUAUUUUGUUGGGGUGACAGUAAAAUUUUUUAACCUUUUAUUAUUUUUAAAACAAUGAUUUUUGAAUAUUUGAUCCACUUUUAGUGAUUAUAAGAUUAAAUUACCUUAGGGAUAACAGCG
rnacentral:rRNA from 1 species